rnacentral:lncRNA from 1 species
GAGUCCCCGAGGGAGGCUACGGUAGGAUAUCUUCCCUAGAGACAGGGUCUUGCUCUGUUGCCCAGGCAGGUCUUGAAUUCCUGGGCUCAAGCGAUCCUCCUGCCUCAGCCUCUUGAGUAGUUUACUACAAGAUCUUUUCUGGCCUGAGAAAGGGGGCCUCCCCUGUCUAGAGGGAGAUCGGGCUCUCCCUGUGAGUGGGCCAAGGAGCCUCUUGGAGAGGGUUUCUAGAUUUAGCAAAUAAAAAUACAGGGUACUCGGUUAAAUUUGAACUUGCAUUUCAGAUAAACGACGAAUAACUUUUUAGCAUGAGUAUUUCUCAUGCAAUAUUGGCUACAUACUUACACUUAAAAAAAAUUGUUACCUGAAAUUCAAAUGUAACUGGAUGCCCUGUGUUUUAUCUGGUAAUCCCAGUCUUGGAAGGAAAAGGAUCAAAUACGAACCCCCUAAUUCUCUGAGCCUUCUUGGUCCAGCCUACACAGCUGGAAGCCCAAAGGUGGCGCUCUUGGAGUCUGACCUCCCCUGGCACAGGGUUUGAGAUGGUCUUUACCCAGCUCCACUGGCCCAAAAGUAGCCCAUAGACCCAAAAGGGGCCUAGCACCUCUCCCCAGGGCAUCAGGAUGGGGCCCCAGGUCCCCAACUGGUUGUCCUGUGGACCUCAGGGAAUGACGACGCAGGAGUCAAGAGCCUCGGUUGCAGCUCCCGCUGUGCCGCCCACGACUGGCUCCGGGGUCAGAUGAUCUGCUGGUUCAAAUCCUGACUCAGCCUCCUACUAGCCAGGCCAGUCUCUAGACCCCUCCCAGCCUCCAUGUCCUCACCUGAGAAAACAGGGUCACAAUACCUGCCUUGCCAACGUGAUGAGGACCAGCGGAGAAGGUGAAAGGGCUUAUAUUCCAAAGCCCACAAGGUUGAAGAUGCACACCCGUGACACAGCCUCAGGAUGUCCUGACGACAUGUGCCAAGGUGGUCAUACGUUUUAGGGAGACAUGAGACAUCAAUCAACACAUGUAAGAUGAACAUUGGUUCAGUCUGGAAAAGGCCGGGCAACGCCAAGCAAAUGUGGGACAACUCGCAGCCAGGAGAAAGCUUCCAGGUCACAGUAUUUUUGACUUACCACGUGUUUAUUGGGACGUAACCCCUUCCUAAGAUGAAGAGCAUCUGUAUACAUCCAGAAUCCUGUGGAGCAACUCAUAACCCAUGAGGAAUGGAAGCCGACAGACAGACUCAUCCCCAGGACAGGUGGUUCUCACUACAUCUCAUAAAGCUUCUUAGAAGAUCUUACAGGAUUGAGCAACCAGCCAGCCACAGCAGGGGCCAACUGGAUAACACGUCUUUGCAUAGGCUCUCCCUCUGUCCCUGUCACCCUCCCCUUUUCCUAACCUUGUUCCUUGGGAUUAUGUUUUGAAAUAAAUUAUUCAGAGAAAUGAAGCCAAAGCUGACCCAUUAGCCAAUAGCUAGGUUCUGUGAUGACAGAGCUUCUGGGCUAUAAUCGUUUACUGAGAAGCCAGCGUUCCUGAGGGGAUAAUGGCUCGUUCCAUUCAGCUGCAGCAUAGGAGUGAGGGCAGGGCAUUAGCAGAAGAUAACACCAGAAACGUGCUCUGGGGCCUGUUGAUGACUUUCUGUGCCAAGCACAGACAUUUAGCCUUUAUUCUGUAUGUGAUGGGAAGCCAGUGCCAGUGGUGGGUUUGAGCAGGGAACCAGCAACCAGUGGUGGGUUUGAGCAGGGAACCAGCAAUACUCAAGCUCUGCUUGGAUGGAGGCCAGUCAGGGAGGAGUUAGGGCAGGAGGACCAGUCAGGGAGGAGACUUAGGGCAGGAGGACCAGUCAGGGAGGAGACUUAGGGCAGGAGGACCGGUCAGGGAGGAGACUUAGGGCAGGAGUACUGGUCAGGGAGGAGACUUAGGGCAGGAGGACCGGUCAGGGAGGAGACUUAGGGCAGGAGGACCGGUCAGGGAGGAGACUUAGGGCAGGAGGACCGGUCAGGGAGGAGUUAGGGCUGGAGGACGGGUCAGGGAGGAGACUUAGGGCAGGAGGACCGGUCAGGGAGGAGUUAGGGCUGGAGGACCGGUCAGGGAGGAGUUAGGGCAGGAGGACUGGUCAGGGAGGAGUUAGGGGAGGAGGACCGGUCAGGGAGGAGUUAGGGCAGGGGGAUUGGUCAGGGAGGAGUUAGGGCAGGGGGAUUGGUCAGGGAGGAGUUAGGGCAGGAGGACCGGUCAGGGAGGAGUUAGGGCAGGAGGACCGGUCAGGGAGGAGACUUAGGGCAGGAGGACUGGUCAGGGAGGAGUUAGGGCAGGAGGACCGGUCAGGGAGGAGUUAGGGCAGGAGGACCGGUCAGGGAGGAGACUUAGGGCAGGGGGAUUCGUCAGGGAGGAGUUAGGGCAGGAGGACCGGUCAGGGAGGAGUUAGGGCAGGAGGACUGGUCAGGGAGGAGUUAGGGCAGGAGGACAGGUCAGGGAGGAGUUAGGGCAGGAGGAUCGGUCAGGGAGGAGUUAGGGCAGGAGGACCGGUCAGGGAGGAGUUAGGGCAGGAGGACCGGUCAGGGAGGAGUUAGGGCAGGAGGACAGGUCAGGGAGGAGACUUAGGGCUGGAGGACUGGUCAGGGAGGAGUUAGGGCAGGAGGACCAGUUAGGAGGCAGUGACUUAGGACUUCAGCAGUGGCACUAGAAAGGGGAUGGAUAUGAACGACAUUGCAAAGUAAAACUAGAGAGACGGCCGGGCACAGUGGCUCACUCCUGUAAUCCCAGCACUUUGGGAGGCCAAGGCGGGUGGAUCAUGAGGUCAGGAGAUCGAGACCAGCCUGGCCAACAUGGUGAAACCCUAUCUCUACUAGAAAAAAAAAAAAAUAGCCAGGCGUGGUGGCGGGCGCCUGUAAUCCCAGCUACUCCAGAGGCUGAGGCAGGAGAAUUUGCUUGAACCAGGGAGUCGGAAGUUGCAGUGAGCUGAGAUCGCACCACUGCACUCCAGCCUGGGCAAUAGAGUGAGACUCCGUCUCAAUAACAAAACAAACAAACAAAAACCUAGAGAGACUUGGCACCUUGCAGAGAGAAGCAAAAGAUGACCCUGAGGUCUGGAGUCCAGGAAGCCAAGGACAGCAAAAGCAUCCACAGAAACAGGAAAAGGGCAGGUGUGGGAGGGAAGGUGAGAGGUUCAUCAGACCUCACAGCCCCUGGCAGCGCCUCCUGGAUCUUUGAAAUCCUGUGCACCCCAGGAGACUCCGGGAGGCCCAUCUGAGCUCACCGGAGACAGGUCUGCCGUCUCUCCUCUCAUCACUGGGGACAGAAAGCCUGAACAUGAGGCCUGGACUACGGGGCUCAGACCAGAAUAUUUCCAGACUUAAGGGCAGUAAUGUGGAGCCCAGGAAGGAAUAUUGAGGACAGAGGGCACAUUACUUAGCUCAAGGGGUGCUGGGUUCUUAUUUUCUACUUUCAAGAAAUGUUUGCUAUAGUCACUGUAACCACCACAAAACAGUGAAUAAUACCAUGAGCCAAAUGUAUGUUUCACAAUUUGUAUGGCUGAUUCUACGCACAUUUAAAUGUGUUUAUGACAAUUGUAGAUUUCGGUUUUCCUCUGG